rnacentral:rRNA from 1 species
UACAGAGGGUGCAAGCGUUAAUCGGAAUUACUGGGCGUAAAGGGCGCGUAGGCGGCCUGUUAAGUCGAACGUGAAAUCCCUGGGCUCAACCCAGGAACUGCGUCCGAUACUGGCAGGCUUGAAUCCGGGAGAGGGAUGCGGAAUUCCAGGUGUAGCGGUGAAAUGCGUAGAUAUCUGGAGGAACACCGGUGGCGAAGGCGGCAUCCUGGACCGGCAUUGACGCUGAGGCGCGAAAGCCAGGGGAGCAAACGGG